rnacentral:lncRNA from 1 species
CCAGCCUUACAUUCUCCUUGGGUUGUUCGCCCUCUGUCUCCUUUCCCUCACGACGGCCCUCCCCAGCCCACCCCAGGCAGGGGCUCCCAGGGAAGGGACAGGGCCUGCAUGCAGAAGGGCUUCCCCGGUUUUGGGUGGAAGGCCACGGCAGGCUUGUCUUCCGCUGCCUGGAUUUCCUGAGUUAUCUUGCCCCAUCUGCCACAGCCUCAGCUUCCCUGGCUGUGAACGGGGCUGGCAGUGCUGCCUCUUGGGACAUAUGGAGGACGGAAUAGGAAUAAAGGAUUCCUGGUUUGGCUUGGGAAAGGCUACUGGGCUGACUCCCCACCCGCAGGAUCUGUGAGAGUAUCUAAGGCCAGCCCCAAAGAGACCUCCAGAAGACAGCUUCCUGGCCUUCCUGCGCCCACUGGGCCCCAACUUCCUUUCACUGGACUCAGGAUCCACAAACUCCUCAUGGCCACCACACACACAUGACUUCUCGGGGUAUCUGAGUCUCGGCAGAGCCUCAGGGAGCACCCCUCACACACCCAGGGAGGGAAGGUUGGUGAGGCCCCGGCAGCUGCAGAGCCUCUUUCCCACACUUCCAGGCUGACCAGGCCCUGAUCCCCAAACUUGGCCACUGACACCCUGCCCCUCCCACCUUGGGCCUCCUGUCACUGGGUGGGCUGCCAGCAGCCCCCAGGUCCCCUGC